rnacentral:rRNA from 1 species
UACAUGCAAGUCGAACGGCAGCGGGUCUUCGGGAUGCCGGCGAGUGGCGGACGGGUGCGUAACGCGUAUGCAACCUACCCAUCACAGGGGGAUAGCCCGGGGAAACUCGGAUUAAUACCCCAUAAAGCAGGGGUUUCGCAUGGAACUAUUUGCUAAAGAUUUAUCGGUGAUGGAUGGGCAUGCGUCUGAUUAGUUAGUUGGUGAGGUAACGGCUCACCAAGGCGACGAUCAGUAGGGGGUCUGAGAGGAUGAUCCCCCACACUGGCACUGAGAUACGGGCCAGACUCCUACGGGAGGCAGCAGUAGGGAAUAUUGGUCAAUGGGCGAGAGCCUGAACCAGCCAUGCCGCGUGCAGGAAGACGGCCUUCUGGGUUGUAAACUGCUUUUCUACGGGAAUAAAAAGGUUCUGCGGGGCAAAUUGCAUGUACCGUAGGAAUAAGCACCGGCUAACUCCGUGCCAGCAGCCGCGGUAAUACGGAGGGUGCAAGCGUUGUCCGGAUUUAUUGGGUUUAAAGGGUGCGUAGGCGGAUAAUUAAGUCAGGGGUGAAAGGCAUUGGCUCAACCAAUGAAUUGCCUUUGAUACUGUUUAUCUUGAGUACAGUUGAGGUGGGCGGAAUUUAUGGUGUAGCGGUGAAAUGCAUAGAUACCAUAAAGAACACCUAUAGCGUAGGCAGCUCACUAAGCUGAGACUGACGCUGAGGCACGAAAGCAUGGGUAGCAAACAGGAUUAGAUACCCUGGUAGUCCAUGCUGUGAACGAUGAUCACUC